GAAACGACUGCUAAGACUGGAUAGGAGACAAGAAGGCAUCUUUUUGUUUUUAAAAGACCUAGCAAUAGGUAUGCUUAGGGAGGAGCUUGCGUCACAUUAGUUAGUUGGUGGGGUAAAGGCCUACCAAGACUAUGAUGUGUAGCCGGGCUGAGAGGUUGAACGGCCACAUUGGGACUGAGACACGGCCCAAACUCCUACGGGAGGCAGCAGUAGGGAAUUUUCGGCAAUGGAGGAAACUCUGACCGAGCAACGCCGCGUGAACGAUGAAGUAUUUCGGUACGUAAAGUUCUUUUAUUAGGGAAGAAUAAAUGAUGGAAAAAUCAUUCUGACGGUACCUAAUGAAUAAGCCCCGGCUAACUAUGUGCCAGCAGCCGCGGUAAUACAUAGGGGGCAAGCGUUAUCCGGAAUUAUUGGGCGUAAAGGGUGCGUAGGCGGUUAAAUAAGUUUAUGGUCUAAGUGCAAUGCUUAACAUUGUGAUGCUAUAAAAACUGUUUAACUAGAGUAAGAUAGAGGCAAGUGGAAUUCCAUGUGUAGUGGUAAAAUGCGUAAAUAUAUGGAGGAACACCAGUAGCGAAGGCGGCUUGCUGGGUCUUUACUGACGCUGAGGCACGAAAGCGUGGGGAGCAAACAGGAUUAGAUACCCUGGUAGUCCACGCCGUAAACGAUGAGUACUAAAUGUUGGGUAAAACCAGUGUUGAAGUUAACACAUUAAGUACUCCGCCUGAGUAGUACGUACGCAAGUAUGAAACUUAAAGGAAUUGACGGGACUCCGCACAAGCGGUGGAUCAUGUUGUUUAAUUCGAAGGUACCCGAAAAACCUCACCAGGUCUUGACAUGCUUCUGCAAAGCUGUAGAAACACAGUGGAGGUUAUCAGUUGCACAGGUGGUGCAUGGUUGUCGUCAGCUCGUGUCGUGAGAUGUUGGGUUAAGUCCCGCAACGAGCGCAACCCUUAUUGUUAGUUGCCAGCACGUAAUGGUGGGGACUUUAGCAAGACUGCCAGUGAUAAAUUGGAGGAAGGUGGGGACGACGUCAAAUCAUCAUGCCCCUUAUGACCUGGGCUACAAACGUGAUACAAUGGCUGUUACAAAGGGUAGCUGAAACGCAAGUUUUUGGCGAAUCUCAAAAAAACAGUCUCAGUUCGGAUUGAAGUCUGCAACUCGACUUCAUGAAGUUGGAAUCGCUA
rnacentral:rRNA from 1 species